UAUCCCAUUCUGUCCCAUUUCUUGAUCUCCAUUACCUCCAUUGUCAUUCCCCACUUCAUGUCAGCCAAUUCACAGUAUAAACAAGCUUGAAUCUAUCCCAUCUUAUAAACAAAUAAAACACAUGGCAUUACUUAUGGCUGCUUGUUCAAUUUCUGCCCCUUCUCCCUUUCAUUUAAAAGCUCACCAAUAGUGCUGCCCACAGCUGCUGUGUAGCAUGUCAUCAUAGUCCCCCCAACACCACCAACCUUCAAUCUGGAUUUUGCUUCCUAUAGUCCACUGAAACAGCCUUUGGCCAGAAAACCCAGGCAAGACAUGGAAGCAAUAGUGGUAACUUCCCUGGAAAAUGAAGGGAAGGAAAUAACAUAAAAGAGUUAUCACAGUUGCAAAUGUGAAAUACCCAUAAAAUAUAGGUGUGCAAAGGCCGUGGUAGCCAAAAAAACUUCUCCCUCAACACAGCAUUGACAGUCUGAGCCUGCAAGUUGCUGGGCACUUUCAUUUCCAACUGAAGUCACUGGGUAUUGAGCACCACAUGAGACCAAGUCCAGAAAGAGUUGCUGAAGGACAAACAAUCUUUUGAGGAGACCAGGAAGAUGCUUUAGGUCAGCAAGAAUUGAGCUUCAUGCCUGGCUGUCUCAUCAUGGGCCAUGACAGAGAAAGACGUGUGCCCACAUUGCAGCCAGAGGGAGAAGGACAGCAGGGAGAAGCAGUGUUGGAGUGGACAGUUUCCAGUUGUCCAGCCCCAGUGCAUCUCCCCGCAGGCUGGAAGUUGUGCCCAUACCAGCACAGGUGUGGAGAAAGCCUCCCUGCCACUGAUACACUGCCAAAGCCACUCGGCCUACAUUGGAUCAGAGCUGGGUUGUUCAGGCCCAUGUCUGAUAAAGGUUACCAAACCCUGGUCUAUGCCAGUAAUUUUUAAUCACAGCAGCCUGGGGUUCCUUGAGAUCCUUUCAAGGAUGCUGAAGAUGCCACACAAUGUUAGCACAGCUAGGUCAGCAAAUAUGCUUCACAAGAUAAUCCCAGAGGGCGCUUAUACACUCGCAGAGAGGCUGCUCCAAUGCACUGUAAUUAUAGUGCAUCAGAGCAGACUUGAUUAAUCGAGCAUGGGGAUGCUGAUACACAUGACGCUUCGGGUACUUUUUUAAUUAGAUCUCUUGGAGCCGCUCUAAUUAAAACACUCAGAGAUUUCACAUAGGAAUUCACAGUGUUAAAAACAUUCUGACCUGUUAUGGUCUUUCUGAGUUCUUUGCAAAAAAGAAUUGUUCUGUUGUUUUUCUGUGGUCAAAAAAAGUGUGAAAACCAAAAACUGGCAUUUUCCUUGCAGUUCCUUGAGUCUAGAAAGUUUAAGACCCACUGUACCCAACAUAAUGCUUCCCAAAUCUGGGCUGUCGCAUCUUUUAGGCAGAGAUGAUCCUGCCCUGAGCAGGUGCCUGGACUAGAUAAACCCCUGAGCUUCCUCCUGGCACUGUUUUUCUCGAAUUCUAUUCUGAGUGCUGUUAUAGUAUAGAGUUAGUGAAGUGUAACGAAGCAAGACUAGCUGCUUCCACCAUGCAUGGUCACCUCUAGCUGUCCACAGCAAAGGUUUAGUAUUUGGUGGAGUAUUGUGAUAAUGAGUUUGCAUUGACUUCCAAGCUACUAUGUGAACGUGUAACAAACUCAAAACUCAAGUCAGGCUGACUAUGGUCCUCAAAUUUAUUUGCUGAACUGUUCUGUCUUUGAAAUGAUGCAAAAAUCUUUGUUAUGCAACAUAGGGCAUGUAAAACUGCUUAUAUGAAUCCAACACAGAGCAAAUCAGGUGUAGUUCACAGAGACCUCCUUGUGGAAUGAUUGUCAGUGAGUCAUUUCUGUUUCACAGGCUGGCUGACCAUCCCAGCUUUCUGAUUAUCUGAGCCAUGUAACCUUAGUUGAACAUGAUGCAGCCUUAAGUCUCAUCUCAUUGCCAAGCCAUCACCAUGUAGAUGAACUGCUUUCCUUAUGGACCAGCUCUCCUGCACUUUAUUUUGUUCAAGGAAUGGAAAAUAGUUCAAACCCACCUGCCCUCUUCCAGUCAGCAGUCCAGAU